rnacentral:misc_RNA from 1 species
GAUGAAGAACGUAGUGAAAUGCGAUACUUGGUGUGAAUUGCAGAAUCCCGUGAACCAUCGAGUCUUUGAACGCAAGUUGCGCCCGAAGCCAUUAGGCCGAGGGCACGCCUGCCUGGGCGUCACACGUCGUUGCCCCCCCAUCUACUCCUUCGGGAUGCGGGGGGCGGAUGAUGGCCUCCCGUGCGCCUCGCCGCGCGGUUGGCAUAAAUGCCAAGUCCUCGGCGACGCACGCCACGACAAUCGGUGGUUGCGAAACCUCGGUUGCCCGUCGUGUGCGGUCGUCGCGCAUCGAGGGCUCGAAAAAAUUGCCGGGCUCCGGCUCGGCUUUCAACGCGACCCCAGGUCAGGCGGGGUUACCCGCUGAAUUUAAGCAUAUCAAUAAGCGGAGGA